AUCUGCUGCUUCCCUUUUCUCCUUAUGAUUAGUUGCUGAAAGUUGGGAAGAAUGGGUAACAGAGAUAGGGUGUCUAGGGCCCCAAUAGGAGUGUGUCUUGAGACUCACCAUGACUUAAAGCCAUAGAGUGUUAGCAGCUAGAGGGUCUGCAACUACAUUUAUAGUCACUGAGGCUUUGUCCAGUGUAACAUUAAGAAAGGAAGAAUGUUCCAGAUACUCAUUAACUUCAGCCCUGUCAAAAAGGGCAAAGAUGCUUCUGCAAAGAGACUCCACAACACCAUUUGUACAGAAAACACAAUCACUACGUAUGUUUCACUGUUUAGGACAUCCAGAGAGGCUCACAUCUACUGGUGCAGGUUUGGGGACACUGCUUCAGCUGCAUCAAGCCCUGCACUUGAAUAUGUCUGAAGAGAUAGAAUAUGAAGCAUCAGAUGCAAUAUCAUCAAUGUGAAAUAAGUACCAAAUGCAGCUUGCCAAAAAUAGAGGAUAAAAGCCUCUUUCUGAAAGAUAUAUUUUUUUUAAAAUGCCUUGCUAUGUGCUACCAGGAUGUCAGGUCCAUGAUAGGAGUCUUAAGAGCUAAUUAGAAAGUACAAUUAGAAGAUCUGUUACUUUAUUUAACAGUUUAUGAAUUCAAGCUACAAAAUUCCUCAUGGGAUGAAAUUUGUCGUAUAGUGCUGUACUUUGCCUAUUUGGUAUACAGAUCUUUUUUUUUUUUAAUUUGCCAGAUUUCAUAAAAACCAUUAGCUCACUUCCAUAGAACAGCUGCUUUUUAAAACAAAACAUCUGACUGGCAUCUGUUCCAUUAUGUAGAGUAUGCAUUUUUCCUACAAAUAAGGGUCCACCACAACUAGACAAUA